rnacentral:rRNA from 1 species
UACGUAGGGGGCAAGCGUUGUCCGGAUUUAUUGGGCGUAAAGAGCGUGUAGGCGGCCUGAAAGGUCAGCUGUGAAAACUCGAGGCUUAACCUCGAGACGUCGGUUGAAACCAUCUGGCUAGAGUCCGGAAGAGGAGUGUGGAAUUCCCGGUGUAGCGGCGAAAUGCGCAGAUAUCGGGAAGAACACCCGUGGCGAAGGCGGCACUCUGGGACGGUACUGACGCUGAGACGCGAAAGCGUGGGGAGCGAACAGG